UUUAAAUACUUUUAGUUCACAUUUUUUAAUGUUUAAAAACUAUGUUAACAGAGCAGUUAUAGAACAGAACUUCUUAUAUUUCUUUAUUUACACCACACUCUGAAAAAAAAAACCCAGUUCUAUUUGAUUAACUAUGAAUAGCAAAGUUUUGUGACUUGUGACUCACUUAAAUCACCCAUCUGAAAUUCAUUUACAAGGUUUUUACAUUAAUAAAACAGUAGUGUGGUACAUGUAUUGGACUCAGAUGAAGUCUAAAGUACACUGGACUCUAGAGAGUGGAUUACAUACCAACGACCAAGAUUCAAGUGUUUGGGGAAAAAAAUACCUUAGACAGUCUAUGUUGGCGUCAACACUAAAAUAAAAGGCAAACAUGCAGGACUUUCAAAGCUUGAUUAGAUAAUGGUUCUUUGUUUUCUUUCCUUCAAAUUUGUGCUCAUAAUUAAUAUUCAGGUUCCCUCUCCCCGCUUUCAUAGAUCCCAAAGUUUGAGAAAUGCAGCAAUUCAAUUGUGAAAAAAACAUUCUUCUCCCCAGCUUCUGUUUUCAUAUGUACUGUGUAGUGGUAUCAGUGUUAAAAAUGGAAGAUCAUUAUGAAGAAACAAUUUGUCAUUUGGGUAUAUCUGUUUCUAUAGGACAAGGAUUUGUGUCUAAAUAUUCCUUACUUGUAUCUCAGAGGACUAUCUGUUAAAUAAUUGAUCUUAAUGCCAGCAUAAGAAAUCAAGGGAACUAUUUCUCAGACAUUUCUUUCUCUAAAUUAAGUAGGGUUUCAGGUUCCAAGUUUACAUUGAGAGAACUAUGUUACCUGGGAGAGAAUGUAAAUUUUUCUAAUUCCCAAACAAAACCACUAAUUUCUAGGAAACAUUUAUUGUUUAUAUGCAGAUCCUAGAGACUUCUAUUUCAGUGCAGAUCAACAACUUCAAAAAUAUACAGCCUCCUAUUUAUUUACAAUAAUAUUUACAUACAAAUGAAGUAUUUCCUGCAAUAAGCCUCAGCUGCAUAGAUUCUUCCUUUAAAAACGUAAAUUUGAGCCUGUAUACAGAUGGGCCCAGUUUCAUAGCCCUUCCUUAGAUAAAAGCCUAAAGAAGGAAAAUGUCUGCACCUUGUGAACUUUACAUAUUUUGCAAGAACUUUCUCUUUGAGAUUUAGUGAUAGUUUUUAGUUGUUAGACACCCCACCUUCAGCUUGUACCUGAAAGCUUUAUCUCGUUAUAAAUAAUUCACUGUAAUUUAGGGGAAGUAUGUCCUGUUGCUAAAGGAUUCUCAAACCUGCCAUCCCCAAGGAAAAUCAUGUAUUAGUAUUGCUAAAUGAUGGUCUGUAUAUUCUUUGUUUUGAAGGUGGCUAGAUGUUUGCUGUAAACUUGAAUGGGAGAAUUAUAUUCUUAAAGUUUACACCCCCUAUAAGCCUAAAGCCAUUUAAAUUGAUAAACUGAGAGAGACUAAUAGAUUUUGCUCUAAGGUAUAAAAUCCAUUAUCUGAUCAUAUUCCUGACCUCCCCCCGACUCCAACUAAAUGUGCCAUAGUCCAACACUGUGCCUCACUGAAUUGGAACUCAGUAUUUCAUUCUUUUGAGAGCAGUUUGUAGCUCCUUAAGCAGAGCAGACCUUUCAGUAGAGAAUUCGCUUUAAAAGGAGGACAGGAUUAUCACCACACGAUUAACACAAACACUGGAGAACUUCUGACACAAAUUCAGUAUUUCUUCUAAGUCUGCAUUUACAAAGGGUCUUUUAUUUUAAUUUCUUUCACAACUGCCUCGCCCCAACCAAAGCCUCACUUUCAUUUCCUCACAGCUUUAAAAAAUAAAAUAUUAUCAUGCCUCAGCCCGAGGUAACACCGAGUGCAGGCAGCCUGUGUUUAGGAAUUUGCACCUGCGCUGCUAUUUUCAACGAGAAGGGGAUAACCAGGUGGCAGCGCUGGAUUCACUCACUUUCUUGCCAUUGCAGAGACCCCUGCCGCCAGGCUCCUUUCCUCCCCUCCCUAAAGCCUGGCUCCUGUAUGUUGCACCAUGAGUCCUAGGAAUCAUCUGGUGAGGGAGGACUAAUGGGAAGUAAAAGGGAGACUCAUUGGCUUAGGGUGGUUCUCAAACUUGAUGCGCUUUAGAAUCAUUUGCUGAGUCCCUCCCUGAGAGCUUCUGACUUCACCAUGUCUGGGAGGGGGCUGAGAAUCUGCAUUCUAAUGAGGUCCCCGAUGAUGCUGAUUCAGGAAGGGAACAUGGCUAAGUGCCUGGAAACUCUGCCAACAGUCUGCGGUUAGAUUCUACUUGUCUCUGGAUAAGAAAUCUGUGCUCAGUGAACUUAUGUGUUUGGAAAAUUUAACCAGAAUAUAGAGGAAGCAUAAGUCCUGUUUCAAGAGACCAGCUCACGGAGCAUGCACAUUUCUCACCAUAGGCAAGCUAUGGACAAUUCAAUCACAUGGGAUGGCCCCACUUAGGGGAAUGCAGUUCUGGGUUUCCUUGCUAUCCCUAUUCUUUUUCAGCUACAAACUCUCUUCUUUUUCAGUCUCUUCAGUUUCCUUGUGCUCCCUUUAGGAGAGGGACAAGGGUAAGAGUACCAGGCAACUCUGUCCUCCUGCAUGGACAGUUGAGACGGGCAGUAAUGGCACAGUCCUUGGUUGGGGAAGAGAAGAGGAGACAGCACAGACACUGAGACCCCCUUGUCUUCCUCAUCUGGGGGAAGGAAGGUACUCAGUGAUUCUGUCAGAAGCUCUUCACAAAGACUAUCUCUGAGGGUUUUUUUUUUUUUUUUUUCACAAGACUAGAUGGAGAAUUAAUGAAGAAGAAAUAGAAAUGAGGCUUAUUUAAGGUACAAAAUUCUUGUAUUUGUAAUAACCUAGAUUUAUAGAUAUAAAACAAGUCUUUUAAAGACUUCCCUAAAAUACUCAAUAUAAAACAGGAGUUACUUAUCCU
rnacentral:lncRNA from 1 species